GGAGUGCAACACGAGGACUUCCCAGGAGGUCACCCAUCCUAGUACUACUCUCGCCCAAGCACGCUU
rnacentral:rRNA from 1 species